CUUAAAUUCAAAAUUUUCGUCUCAUGCCGAUCAGAACCUAAUCUCCAAGUUCAAAUGCUCUCGCUCCCUUGACCGUUCCCUUCGUGUCUUCAUCACCGUCCCGCAUCGAGCUGCGAAUCUGCUUCCCCACGAUCAGUCGGCAUCACACUGGACUUGCAAUUUUGCUCUUAAGCCUCAUGUCUGGGUUUAACGAGGAUAAUAUGGCUUCACAUGCUCAGCACAAGCCCGGGCAAGGGUAGCUAAUCCUAAUAGUGGUUAAGCUAAUAGCGAGUACGUGGUUCUCAAGAAGAUGAAGCUUGAGGUCCGUAAGAGUGCGGAUGAGAUUGAGAAGAGAAAGAUGGUGCUUGGGGAUCAAGAAGCUGAAAUAAGAUGUUCAUGAACACUACUCCGGGUGUAUUGAGUCCUUUCAAUUGUUGUGUCAUGUUACUUAUGUGCAUCUAAGUGAUUUCGAAACUUGAAAUCUGUGUCGUGGUGGAAGGCCCCAAACUGGACCUCUUAAUUCUUCCAUCCAAGAACAUGGUUGGCUAGGAGCAAGUUGGUUAAUUGUAUUUAAAGACUCCAAGAACACUUGUUCUUUUUAUUUUAUUUUUAUUUUUAUUUAUUUAUUGAUUUUAUGACAA